rnacentral:rRNA from 1 species
UGGAGCAUGUGGUUAAUUCGAAGCAACGCGAAGAACCUUACCAGGUCUUGACAUCCCCUGACAACCCGAGAGAUCGGGCGUUCCCCUUCGGGGGACAGGGUGACAGGUGGUGCAUGGUUGUCGUCAGCUCGUGUCGUGAGAUGUUGGGUUAAAGUCCCCGCAACGAGCGCAACCCCCGACCUUAGUUGCCAGCAUUCAGUUGGGCACUCUAAGGUGACUGCCGGCUAAAAGUCGGAGGAAGUGGGGAUGACGUCAAAUCAUCAUGCCCCUUAUGACCUGGGCUACACACGUGCUACAAUGGGCGGUACAAAGGGUCGCGAACCCGCGAGGGGGAGCCAAUCCCAAAAGGCCGCUCUCAGUUCGGAUUGCAGGCUGCAACUCGCCUGCAUGAAGCCGGAAUCGCUAGUAAUCGCGGAUCAGCAUGCCGCGGUGAAUACGUUCCCGGGCCUU